GGAGGAGGAGCCUGGAUAGCUGAAUGGAUAAACUCUUUCUCCUGAGGAGAACUUCAGCACCGUAGAGCUUCUAACAGCUGCCUGUGCUGUUGUAAUUUCAUCAGGAUGUCUGAGAUGCAGCAUCUGGUCCUGGUGGUUUAUUUUCUUUGGGAGGUUGAAAGAAAAGGCACUGGAAUCAUCCAGGUCCUGGAUGCUGGAGAUACUGGAUCUCAUUAAAGCUGCUUUAGUUUCUUCAAGGUGAAAAACAUUUCCCCAUCUCAAACCAAGAAACCAAACUGUUAAAAUCCCCUUUCCUUUUCCUCCACUCCUCCCAGAAAGCCCCAAAUCUUUCACAAAACCCUUCACUCUGAGCAGUGACGUAAACCUGCCCAGUGUCGCUGCAGUGAUCCUUUUUAUUACUAGCUUUAGUUCAUGAUGAAUUUUAUUAACAGUUGGAGGUUUUGGACUGAACAUUUCUUAGGACUUAUUGAGAGGAACAACCUAUUGGGGAUCUCUCCUGAGAACUACAGGUUUACGCCACCUGUAGGAAUGCUGAAGUGAUGUCAGCUGGCUUACUUGUGUGACAUUAGCAGGAAAUUCUCAUGAAGAUUUUUAUAUUUCUUUUUAUUA